rnacentral:rRNA from 1 species
CGAGUAAACGGCGGCCGUAACUAUAACGGUCCUAAGGUAGCGAAAUUCCUUGUCGAUUAAAUAUCGACCUGCAUGAAUGGCGUAACGAGAUGGGAGCUGUCUCGAAGAGGGAUCCAGUGAAAUUGUAGUGGAGGUGAAAAUUCCUCCUACCCGCGGCAAGACGGAAAGACCCCGUGGACCUUUACUACAGCUUGACACUGCUAUUGGGAUAAAAAUGUGCAGGAUAGGCGGGAGGCUUUGAUCCAUAGACGCCAGUUUAUGGUGAGCCAUUGUUGAGAUACCGCUCUUUUUUAUUCUGAUAGCUAACUAGCUUGAGUUAUCCUCAAGUAGGACAAUGUCUGGUGGGUAGUUUGACUGGGGCGGUCGCCUCCCAAAAUGUAACGGAGGCUUACAAAGGUUGGCUCAGAACGGUUGGAAAUCGUUCGUAGAGUAUAAAGGCAUAAGCCAGCUUAACUGCGAGACAUACACGUCAAGCAGAGACGAAAGUCGGUCUUAGUGAUCCGGUGGUUCUGUGUGGAAGGGCCAUCGCUCAAAGGAUAAAAGGUACCCCGGGGAUAACAGGCUGAUCUCCCCCAAGAGCUCACAUCGACGGGGAGGUUUGGCACCUCGAUGUCGGCUCAUCGCAUCCUGGGGCUGUAUUCGGUCCCAAGGGUUUGGCUGUUCGCCAAUUAAAGCGGUACGCGAGCUGGGUUCAGAACGUCGUGAGACAGUUCGGUCCCUAUCUGCCGUGGGCGUAAGAAGAUUGAGGAGAGUUGACCCUAGUACGAGAGGACCGGGUCGAACCAACCACUGGUGUACGAGUUGUCCUGCCAAGGGCACCGCUCGGUAGCUAUGUUGGGAUGUGAUAACUGCUGAAAGCAUCUAAGCAGGAAGCCAACUCCAAGAUGAAUCUUCUUUUAAGAGCUCAUAUAGACUAUGUGUUUGAUAGGCUGGGUGUGUAAUGGAUGAAAGUCCUUUAGCUGACCAGUACUAAUAGCUCGUCUGCUUAUCUUU